rnacentral:rRNA from 1 species
UGCGGAGGGAUCAUUACCGAGUUUACAACUCCCAAACCCCUGUGAACAUACCUAUACGUUGCCUCGGCGGAUCAGCCCGCGCCCCGUAAAAAGGGACGGCCCGCCCGAGGACCCCUAAACUCUGUUUUUAGUGGAACUUCUGAGUAAAACAAACAAAUAAAUCAAAACUUUCAACAACGGAUCUCUUGGUUCUGGCAUCGAUGAAGAACGCAGCAAAAUGCGAUAAGUAAUGUGAAUUGCAGAAUUCAGUGAAUCAUCGAAUCUUUGAACGCACAUUGCGCCCGCCAGUAUUCUGGCGGGCAUGCCUGUUCGAGCGUCAUUUCAACCCUCAAGCUCAGCUUGGUGUUGGGACUCGCGGUAACCCGCGUUCCCCAAAUCGAUUGGCGGUCACGUCGAGCUUCCAUAGCGUAGUAAUCAUACACCUCGUUACUGGUAAUCGUCGCGGCCACGCCGUAAAACCCCAACUUCUGAAUGUUGACCUCGGAUCAGGUAGGAAUACCCGCUGAACUUAAGCAUAUCAAUAG